CUCGGAAGGAUCAUUAACGAGUUUUGAAACGAGUUGUAGCUGGCCUUCCGAGGCAUGUGCACGCUCUGCUCAUCCACUCUACCCCUGUGCACUUACUGUAGGUUGGCGUGGGCUCCUUUGCGGGAGCAUUCUGCCGGCCUAUGUAUACUACAAACACUUUAAAGUAUCAGAAUGUAAACGCGUCUAACGCAUCUAUAAUACAACUUUUAGCAACGGAUCUCUUGGCUCUCGCAUCGAUGAAGAACGCAGCGAAAUGCGAUAAGUAAUGUGAAUUGCAGAAUUCAGUGAAUCAUCGAAUCUUUGAACGCACCUUGCGCUCCUUGGUAUUCCGAGGAGCAUGCCUGUUUGAGUGUCAUGGAAUUCUCAACUUAUAAAUCCUUGUGAUCUAUAAGCUUGGACUUGGAGGCUUGCUGGCCCUUGCGGUCGGCUCCUCUUGAAUGCAUUAGCUCGAUUCCGUACGGAUCGGCUCUCAGUGUGAUAAUUGUCUACGCUGUGACCGUGAAGUGUUUUGGCGAGCUUCUAACCGUCCAUUAGGACAAAUUUUUAACAUCUGACCUCAAAUCAGGUAGGACUACCCGCUGAACUUAAGCAUAUCAA
rnacentral:rRNA from 1 species